rnacentral:rRNA from 1 species
UUGUUGGAAGUAAAAGUCGUAACAAGGUUUCGGUAGGUGACCUUGCGGAGGAACAAUUA